GACGAACCGUGCGAACGUUGUUCGGAUUCACUGGGCUUAAAGGGCGCGUAGGCGGGCGUCAGGGUCCGGGGUGAAAUCCCCCAGCUUAACUGGGGAAUAGCCCCGGAAACCGGACGUCUCGAGGGAGGUAGGGGCAGGUGGAACUUCCGGUGGAGCGGUGAAAUGCGUAGAUAUCGGAAGGAACGCCGGUGGCGAAAGCGACCUGCUGGACCUCUUCUGACGCUGAGGCGCGAAAGCUAGGGGAGCAAACGGG
rnacentral:rRNA from 1 species